rnacentral:lncRNA from 1 species
UCCAGGGACUGUCAUCCUUUUUCUCCUUCUCCAUUACCCAGUCAGCAGUUGGAGUGUCAGCAACCAUCUAUUCAGAAAAAGCUGCCUUUCCUUCACAUAUCCCAGAAAGCCCCAUGUGUAGACAUCAUUUAGCAGUGUAUAUUCAGGAUCCCACUGAAGCAUUUUUGGGAGAUAUGACUCUCAGAUAUUAGAAGCCAGGAAUAAGAAAUUUCAGUGACAGGGAACAUAAAUCAUAUUUCUGCAUUCAGGAUAAUGUUUUCUUGGUACAGGGAUUUCUUCUUCAAGUAAUCAAAAGACAACUGUACCUUCAAACCAUUCAGAAAAAUAUGUUCUAAUUUAGUUCUUUUCAUUCUACAGACUCCAUCAGGAAUCGUUUGGGACCGUGGGUUCUGUUGACACUCACAUUGUGUAAUUAUGUUGCCCACUGCCAACCCUAAAGCCACCAAGGUAGCAGGUUUCAAAUAAUUCAUCAGUGAAUUCUCCUCAACCUGGUCAAUCAUGUGAACUUAGAAGAUGAUUCCUCCCCAGCUGAUCCUCAGGUGAGACCUCAGCCUUGGCCAUCAUCUAUAUCUGGAUUCCUGACCCAGAGAAACUGUGAGUAAUUUGUAUGUGCUUUUGAGCCACUAAGCUACAUGGUAAUUGGCUAUGCUGCAAUAAACAAUAAUACACUUGAUGGUAAACAUAAUAUGUUAUCCUUGAUUAGAUCCAAGAAAAGGAAAAAUGGCAUUAGUGAAAAACCUGGUAAAAUAUAAAGACAGUCAGUACUUUAGUUAAUAGUUUUGUGCCUUUAUCAGUUUCUGAGUUUUCAUAGAUAGUCUAUGGUUAUGUGUAUGAUAUUAAUAUAACAGGAAAUUGAAAGCUAUAUACAACUUUAUGUAAGAUUUUAACAACUCUCUGUUAAUCUAAAAUUAUUUCAAAAUAAAUAGAAGUGUAGACAUGGCUCAUAUAUUUGAGAUCAGGUCUCCCUGUUAACUUAAUUGAGCCUUCAUGGAACUAAAUCUCAUGGUACAAAUGCAGUAAGGUUAUAAAAUAUAAAUCAGAUGAGUUUCUAUUUUACUCUCUUCUUCAGGGAACACUAAGGCCCAUUCUUCCUCUCAAGUAUCCAGAAAUAAAGUUGCUCCAAGUAACAAGUGGACAGCAUAAAAGAUUGUAUGGAAACUAUAAUGCAUCUACAUCUGCAGUAACUAAUCAUAAAAUGAUUUGUAUGAUCAUUCUUCACAUGAUUAGAAUUACUAUGGGAAAGAAGAAAAAGAAA